CACACACGCACGCACGCGCACACACACACGCGCACACACACGCACACGCCCGCGCACACACUCUCUCACACACACACAGAGAUUGGAGAGAGACAGGAGAGAGACAUGUUUUCAUCUAUCCUUUGUGGACUUCUGUUGUUUUUACUGCUGUGAAAUUUGACUUGCGAUAUCUGCUUGUAAAACAUCAUCAAAUCCAAAUUCAUUAUAUUCCACUUUUUCUAUUACAUGGUUUCUGCUUCACUGAUUCAUAUCUGUUUUACCUAUUCUGUAAGGGAGGAGAAGCUGCAAAGCAAUGAAGAGAAAAGCUGAAGUCAGUGAUUAGGAGUGUCUGUGUAAGUAAAAGCAACAGGCAAUUACUGAGUGUGGUGUGAGAGGCACGGAAAGAUUGGGAAUUCAGCAAGAAGAGGAAUUGAAGUCAAACCUCACCUACUUCCCAGAGUCUUCUGGAUUUUCUGUUAGAAGCUUCAGUAUCUGAGAUAUUCCUAUGCAUUCUACUGCUUUAAUCCCACCUAAGUAGAGAUGUCCACAACAGAGAGAAUGGAGCUGUCACAUCGUUUCAACUGCCCAGGAAAGGACUCAGGCAACAAAUAAACAGCUAAGAUUUUACUAGAGUAUGAAAGGGAGAGCACUGGAGUGCAGUGCGGGGAUGGAGAUGCAGCUGUGGUGGCUGGAAGUACAGGAGGGCAGCUGGAGGCACCUGGCCUCUGAAGCCUGUCUUCUUCAUCUGGGUGAGAUCUGCUGGAGUCAGGAAGGACUUCCUGCUGCAAGGAUAAAGACCUAAGAAGCAUCAUGACCUGAGAAACAGUUUCACAGGCCACUCUUGGCAGGUGAAGUGUGGUGGCGUAAUCAUGACUCACUGCAGCCUCGAACUCCGGGACUCAAGCUAAUCUCUUUCCUCAGCCUUCCCAGCAGCUGGGACUACAGAAUCCCACCCAUCCUAAGGCAUUACAUUUAGUCAUCAUAGCUCUUUCUUCACAGAAUUAGAAAAAACUACUUUAAAUUUCAUAUGGAACCAAAAAAGAGCCCAUAUAGCCAAGAAAAUCUUAAGCAAAAAGAACAAAGAUGGAGGCAUCAUGCUAACUGACUUCAAACUAUACUACAAGGCUACAGUAACCAAAACAGCAUGGUACUGGUGCCAAAACAGAUAUAUAGACCAAUGGAAUAGAACAGAGGCCUCAGAAAAACGUCACCCAUCUACAACCAUCUGAUCUUCAACAAAUCUGACAAAAACAAAUAAUGGGGAAGAAAUUCUGUAUUUAAUAAAUGAUCUUGGGAAAACUGGCUAGCCACAUGCAGAAAACUGAAGCUGGGCUCCUUCCUUACACCUUAUACAAAAAUUAACUCAAGAUGGAUUAAAGACUUAAACGUAAGACCUAAAACCAUAGAAACCCUAGAAGAAUACCUAGGCAAUACCAUUGAGGACACAGACAUGGGCAAAUGACUAAAGCAACAAAAGCCAAAAUUGACAAAUGGGAGCUAAUUAAACUAAAGAGCUUCUGAACAGCAAAAGAAACUAUCAUCAGAGUGAACAGGCAACCUACAGAAUGGGAGAAAAUUUUUGCAAUCUAUCCACCUGACAAAGGGCUAAUAUCCAGAAUCUACAAAUAACUUAAACAAAUUUACAAGAAAAAAAACAAACAACCCCAUCAAGAAGUGGGUGAAGGAUAUGAAAAGACACUUCUCAAAAGAAGACAUUUAUGUGGCCAACAAACAUGAAAAAAAGCUCAUCAUCACUGGGCAUUAGAGAAAUGCAAAUCAAAACCACAAUGAGAUACCAUCUCACGCCAGUUAGAAUGGCGAUCUUUAAAAAGUCAGGAAACAACAGAUGCUGGAGAGGAUGUGGAGAGAUAGGAAUGCUUUUACACUGUUGGUAGGAGUGUAAAUUAGUUCAGCAAUUGUGGAAGACUGUGUGGAGAUUCCUCAAGGAUCUAGAACCAGAAAUGCCAUUUGACCGAGCAAUCCCAUUACUGGCUAUAUACCCAAAGGAUUAUAAAUCAUUCUACUAUAGAGACACAUCCACCUGUAUGUUGAUUGCAGCACUGUUCACAAUAGCAAAGACUUGGAACCAAUGCAAAUGCCCAUCAAUGAUCGGCUGGAUAAAGAAAAUGUGGCACAUAUACACCGUGAAAUACUAUGUAGCCAUAAAAAAGGAUGAGUUCAUGUCCUUUGCAGGGAUAUGGAUGAAGCUGGAAACCAUCAUUCUCUGCAAACUAAUACAGGAACAGAAUGCCAAACACCACAUGUUCUCACUCAUAAGUGGGAGUUGAACAAUGAGAACACAUGAAUACCGGGAGGGAACAUCACACACCAGGGCCUGUCAGAGGGUCGGGGGCUAGGGAAGGGAUAGCAUUAGGAGAAAUACCUAAUGUAGAUUAUGGGUUGAUGGGUGCAGCAAACCACCAUGGCACAUGUAUAGCUAUGUAACAAACCUGCACGUUCUACACAUGUAUCCCAGAACUUAAAGCAUAAGUAAAAUAAAAAAAUAAUUAAAUGAGGAAGAAGAGUCAAAUUUUUGUGCAGAAAAAUUUGAAAGAAUUUAUGUAGAUACUACUUCCUCAAUGAGGAAGAGCAUAACUCUAUGCUCUUUAAGUCGGACAUGAACAUACUCAUUUCUUUCAAAAGAGUACAAUAUGAAAAGAGGGAAAAAGAAUAACUGUACAGUAAAGAAACCUGACAAUUGCUACCUUGGCCAAGUGACCCAGGUCAACAUCAACAGUGAUAGUGACGUUUAUGUCAUGUCCACUUGAAAUGAUGUGAUUAAAAAAAGGCACUUUACCUCUGUGUUCUUCUUCCUAUUCCCAUAAUUCCAGACUAAUUAUUUAAAAAUUUUCAUAUGUAUUCCAAUUAAAGAACAUUCUAAAAAAUACCCAACUGGUAAUUCUCAAAACUGCCUAGGUCAUCGAAACAAGCAAAAUUUGAGAAACUGUUACAUUUAUGGAUUUUUAAAUAUUGAAACAAAUCUCAUAUUUCUGGGAUGAAAUCUACUUCAUUAUGAAGCAUUAUCCUUUUAAAUAUAUUGCUUGAAUUAAUUUGCUAAAAUACUGUGUAGGAUUUUGCAUCUAUACUAAUGAGAGAUAGUGAUCUUUAGUUUUCUUUUUUCUUUUGUUUUGUUUUCUGAAACAGAGUCUUCUUGCUCUAUCGCCCAGGCUGGAGUGCAGUAGCAUGAUCAUAGCUCACUGCUGCCUCAAACUGAAGCAAUUAAAGACUGCUCAAGUAAUCCUCCCGCCUCAGUCUCUUAUGUAGCUAGGACUAUAGGCAUAUACCACCAUGCCCAGCUAACUUUUAAUUACUUUAUUUUUUAUUUAUUUAUUUUUUGUAAAGACAGGGUUUUGCUAUGUUGCCUAGGCAGGUUUCAAACUUCUGGCCUCAAGCAGCCCAGGCAUGUGCCAAAACAUCUGGCCCAGUUUUCUUUUCCAUAAGGUCUUUGCCUGGUUUUAAUAUCAGUGUACUAGUGAACUCUUCAAUUUUUAGAAGAGUUUGUAUAAAAUUGGUAUCACUUGUUCCUUAAAUGUUGAGAAGAGCUCACUAGUGAAUAAAUCUUUCUUUUUUCUUUUUUCUUUCUUUCUUUCUUUUUUUUGAAACGGAGUUUCACUUUUGUCACCCAGGCUGGAGUGCAAU
rnacentral:lncRNA from 1 species